CCUACGGGAGGCUGCAGUGAGGAAUAUUGGUCAAUGGACGCAAGUCUGAACCAGCCAUGCCGCGUGCAGGAAGACGGCUCUAUGAGUUGUAAACUGCUUUUGUACGAGGGUAAACGCAGAUACGCGUAUCUGUCUGACAGCAUCGUACGAAUAAGGAUCGGCUAACUCCGUGCCAGCAGCCGCGGUAAUACGGAGGAUUCAAGCGUUAUCCGGAUUUAUUGGGUUUAAAGGGUGCGUAGGCGGUCGGAUAAGUUAGAGGUGAAAUCCCGAGGCUCAACUUCGGAAUUGCCUCUGAUACUGUUCGGCGAGAGAGUAGUUGCGGUAGGCGGAAUGUAUGGUGUAGCGGUGAAAUGCUUAGAGAUCAUACAGAACACCGAUUGCGAAGGCAGCUUACCAAGCUACUUCUGACGUUGAGGCACGAAAGCGUGGGGAGCAAACAGGAUUAGAUACCCGAGUAGUC
rnacentral:rRNA from 1 species